GUUUGACCUCAAAUCAGGCAAGACUACCCGCUGAACUU
rnacentral:rRNA from 1 species